AGUGGCAUACUAGCACAGCAUUAGAUUAUAGUUAGCAUUGAAGCUUUAGUAUCACAGAACAGCUCACUAGCAUAGCAUAAAAGAAUACAAAACAUACUCGAAAUCUUUAAUACUAGCACACUUAAAUACCUGCCCACUUGCUAAAUUACUAACUUUUAAUCUUCUUUGCUAGUACAGAUACAUGCUGGCAUACUAGCACAACAUUAGAUUCUUAUAGUUGGCAUUGAAGCUUUAGUAUCACAGAACAGCUCACUAGCAUAGCAUAAUAGAAUAUAAAACAUACUUGAAAUCUUUAAUACUAGCACACUUGAAUACCUUUCCACUUGCUAGCACAGUAGCAUUUUAUGAUGGUCUAAUACACAAGAACCGGUUUUGGAAAAAGCUGGACUCCGGGAUGUCAUAAGAACAGCAUUAAUACUAACGGUUACAUCAUGCUGCUCAGCCCUGAGGGAACAGGACAAAGGGAUUUAGCAGAGCAGCUAAAUCCCCACAGCACACUGGGAAAUUUCUUGGUGUUUUGAGAGCGACAGAGAGAGAGUGAUGAGAGUUGGAGUGGAGCAUGGAGCCUAUCCCAGGGAGCUCACCCUAGACGGGGGGCCAGCCCCAGCACAACUGUACACACACCAUGGACAAUUUGGACUGGGGGAGGAAACCAGAGCACCCAGAGGAAACCCAUGAAGCAUGGGGAGAACAUGCAAACAGAGGUGGGCUUAAAAAACCCCAACCCCAGGGGCGUGAGGCAAAUGUGCUAGCCACUAAGCCACUGCGCACCCCCCAGUAAGCUCAUGCUAGUGUCUAAGAGUAUGUGUUUGGUGUUUCACUGUGCUUUAUGCAUUUCAAAUUAGGUUAUAUCAGGUGAGUGGGUCGAUAAACAUGUAAACAAAAAUCAGUUAUUACAAAUGCCAAUUCCUCUGUUAAUAUUACUUAUGAUUUGUUUAUUUUUAUUAUUGUUAUUGAAGUUAAUGUUAGAAACUGCUGUAAACAAUGCUAAGUAAAAAAAAACCGGAAUGUAAAAUGGUACAAAUUAUUUUAUAAUAAUCAUAAUUUCAUAAUGAGAAAUAUUAGCUGCAUUCACCUCUAUUCAAAAUGAUUUUUGUUAGUGCAGUGUCGGCUCAGGUCAUGUCAGAAACGUGCACUAUGUGUAACUUUUGUGAAGACGUUUCUAAAUCAGUGGGCUGGAGCAGAUGUGUAUAUAUAGCAUGUGUGUGUGUGUGGGUGUGUGUGUGUGUGUGUGUGUGUGCCCUCUGUCAGAGAGCAUCACUUUUCUAGUCAGCACAAAACCACAGAAGCACACA